rnacentral:rRNA from 1 species
AGGACGAACGCUGGCGGCGUGCUUAACACAUGCAAGUCGAGCGGAAAGGCCCUUCGGGGUACUCGAGCGGCGAACGGGUGAGUAACACGUGAGUAAUCUGCCCCUAGCUCUGGGAUAGCUCCGGGAAACCGGGAUUAAUACCGGAUACGACCACUUUAGACAUCUGUUGUGGUGGAAAGAAUUUUGGCUAGGGAUGAGCUCGCGGCCUAUCAGCUUGUUGGUGGGGUAAUGGCCUACCAAGGCGACGACGGGUAGCCGGCCUGAGAGGGCGACCGGCCACACCUGGGACUGAGACACGGCCCAGACUCCUACGGGAGGCAGCAGUGGGGAAUAUUGCGCAAUGGGCGAAAGCCUGACGCAGCGACGCCGCGUGGGGGAUGAAGGCCUUCGGGUUGUAAACCCUUUCAGCAGGGACGAAGCGAAAGUGACGGUACCUGCAGAAGAAGCGCCGGCUAACUACGUGCCAGCAGCCGC